rnacentral:rRNA from 1 species
CCCUUAGAUGUUCUGGGCUGCACGCGCGCUACACUGAUGCGAUCAACAAGUUUUUCCUAUGUCGAUAGACACGGGUAAUCUUUUGAACUCGCAUCGUGAUGGGGAUAGAUUAUUGUAAUUAUUAAUCUUCAACGAGGAAUUCCUAGUAGGUGCAAAUCAUCAGUUUGCAUCGAUUACGUCCCUGCCCUUUGUACACACCGCCCGUCGCUGCUACCGAUUGGUUGAUCUGGUGAAUUAUUCGGACUGCCGGCUGAAGGGGUUUCCUCAUCUGCCAGCGGAAAGUCGUGUUAACCCUAUCAACUAGAGGAAGCAGAAGUCGUAACA